GGGGUGUUAGGGCACGACACCGGAGAGGGAGUCUGAGAAACGGCUACCACAUCCAAGGAUGGCAGCAGGCGCGCAAAUUACCCAAUCCCGACACGGGGAGGUAGUGACAAUAAAUAACAAUACGGGGUUCUUUCGGAUCUCGUAAUUGGAAUGAGUACAAUUUAAAUCUCUUAACGAGGAACAAUUGGAGGGCAAGUCUGGUGCCAGCAGCCGCGGUAAUUCCAGCUCCAAUAGCGUAUAUUAAAGUUGUUGCAGUUAAAAAGCUCGUAGUUGAAUUUCGGGAUCAAAUUGUUGGUCGUGCUUCGGUACGCACUGGCAUUAUUGGUUCCUACCUUCUGAAGAACCGCGAUGUCAUUAAUUUGGUGUCGUGGGGAAUCAGGACUGUUACUUUGAAAAAAUUAGAGUGUUUAAAGCAGGCGUACGCUUGAAUACAUUAGCAUGGAAUAAUGAAAUAGGACGUUUGAUUCUAUUUUGUUGGUUUCUAGGAUCGACGUAAUGAUUAAUAGGGAUAGUUGGGGGCAUUAGUAUUCAAUUGUCAGAGGUGAAAUUCUUGGAUUUAUUGAAGACUAACUACUGCGAAAGCAUUUGCCAAGGAUGUUUUCAUUAAUCAAGAACGAAAGUUAGGGGAUCGAAGACGAUCAGAUACCGUCGUAGUCUUAACCAUAAACUAUGCCGACUAGGGAUCGGA
rnacentral:rRNA from 1 species